UUAUGGCUCAGGAUGAACGCUAGCGGCAGGCUUAACACAUGCAAGUCGAGGGGCAGCGCGGGGCAGCAAUGUUCUGGCGGCGACCGGCGGAAGGGUGCGUAACGCGUGAGCGACAUGCCCGUUGCCCGGGGACAACCGGUGGAAACGCCGACUAAUCCCCGAUGGGACGGAGGCCCUCAUGGGUCUCCGUUGAAAGUUACGGCGGCGACGGAUUGGCUCGCGUCCGAUUAGCUUGUUGGCGGGGUAACGGCCCACCAAGGCUACGAUCGGUAGGGGUUCUGAGAGGAAGGUCCCCCACAAUGGAACUGAGACACGGUCCAUACUCCUACGGGAGGCAGCAGUGAGGAAUAUUGGUCAAUGGGCGGAAGCCUGAACCAGCCAUGCCGCGUGCGGGAAGGAGGCCCUAUGGGCUGUGAACCGCUUUUGCCUGGGGGCAAUAAGGGCGUCGUGCACGUCCGAUGAGAGUACCAGGCGAAUAAGCAUCGGCUAACUCCGUGCCAGCAGCCGCGGUAAUACGGGGGAUGCGAGCGUUAUCCGGAUUCAUUGGGUUUAAAGGGUGCGUAGGCUGUGCGUCAAGUCAGGGGUGAAAUUCCGGGGCUCAACUCCGGGGCUGCCCUUGAUACUGUCGCGCUGGAGUGCGGAUGCCGCCGGAGGAAUGAGUGGUGUAGCGGUGAAAUGCUUAGAUAUCACUCAGAACACCGAUUGCGAAGGCAUCUGGCGAAUCCGUAACUGACGCUGAGGCACGAAAGCGUGGGGAUAGAACAGGAUUAGAUACCCUGGUAUUCCACGCCGUAAACGAUGAUGGCUAACCGCCGGCGACACACUGUCGGUGGCCAAGCGAAAGCGAUAAGCCAUCCACCUGGGGAGUACGUCGGCAACGAUGCAACUCAAAGGAAUUGACGG
rnacentral:rRNA from 1 species